rnacentral:rRNA from 1 species
AUGAGCUGUUUUCAGCUUCCGGUGGCCACGUGUGAGAAGUUCCGUCAGAUUAUCUCAGACCAUUGGUGGGGCAGGGAAGAUGGGAAGAAGAAGCUGCACUGGCGGUCCUGGAAGUGUCUCACUACGCCAAAAUCUCUCGGGGGAAUGGGCUUUCGUGAUAUGACACUUUUUAAUCAAGCUAUGCUUGGGAAGCAAGGAUGGCGCUUACUUACAGAACCAGAUUCAUUAUGUGCUCGGGUUCUCAAAGGAAGAUAUUUCCCUCAUGGAGACUUUUGGAAUGCUACAGCUCCUCGGUCCGCAUCAGUUACAUGGCGAAGCAUCCUUUAUGGUCGGGAACUUCUGAAGCAAGGGAUUUGCUGGAGGAUUGGUGAUGGUAAAGGCACCCGUAUAUUGUCUGAUUAUUGGAUCCCUUCGUUUCCUCCUGGCAUGGUUAGGACAACCUCACCAAUCCCGGAAAUAGCCAUAGUUCAUUGUCUGUUGGACGAAGAUACUGGUUCUUGGAACGAUCAGACUGUGCAAGCGUUCUUCGAGCCGGACAUUGCUGCAGCGAUCCUGCAGGUUCCUAUCAAAAGGCAUGGUGGUUCAGAUUUGGCAUACUGGCCUAUUACCAGGUUAGGGCAUUAUUCCGUUCGUUCGGCAUACAACAUGGCUCGGUCGAAAAGCUUCAUGGCAAAUAUUAGUAGUAAUGGUCGUGGCCAAUCUUCUAACAGAGCGGCGGAGGAGAAGGACUGGAAAUCUGUAUGGUCCGUUAUUGCUCCUAACAAGAUGAAGAUCGUCUUAUGGCGUCUUCGCAUAACUGUUUGCCUUCCGGGGAACAGCUUCGUAGACGCAAUGUUCCUGCUCCUGCUGCAUGUGCUUUCUGCGGCCGAAUAG